GUGGUUCCCCACGGCAGGGGGGCUUAGCUGAGCCGGCUCUGACCUCCCCACCUGGCCCAGGCAGUGGGCUGAGAGCCACCUCUUCCCCUGCCAUCCCCGUUGGGCAGUACCGCAUGAGGCAGAGGCGGCAGAGCCCGAGGAGAGUCGGGGAUUUCCCUUGUUGGCAGGCAGCACGGUGGCCUCUGCCGGGCAGGGCAGAAAGCAGUGCCAGGGUAGCGGCAGCUCCCGCCUGGCUCCGGCUCCUCUGCCCGGCCGCUCCGGUCCAGCAGUGCCCGCGGGUUUGGGGAAGAUGGAAGGGACAGGUUGCACCCACCUUUUCUCUAACCCAGCUUCCAGUUUCAGGUACAGUCUGUGUUAAGGAGGAACUCCCUGCCACCCAAAACCAGGACGAGUUACUCUUCCCAGCUCUUAGAUCGGUGCAAGCCCCACCCGUUUGCACAAGCAGCAUUCAUGGUAGGGCAAUAUUCAGUCUAAAAAACCUCCUCUUGAAAAUGUGCAAAGGCAGUGGAAAUGUGAGCUGUAAAUGUUUUAAAUACCAACAGAAAGACUCUUAAGCUAGCUAUAUGUGCUACCUGUAGGUUUGUUUGACCUACUACAGGUAGUAUGUUUGAAAAUACUACAUAUGCGCUUGAAAAUUCAAUAGUUGAUCUGAUUUACAACUUGUUUCAUUGCAAAUUGAUAUUUUUUGACGAAAAUUUAUAUGUGCAGUUGUUUUAUUUUGAUCCUGUCAUAGUAGGACCCAUUUUAUUGUUCUCAGCUUGUUUCCAGCCUGGGAAGUACUGCAAGCUUCCCAUGACCCCAUGGCCUAGCCACCUUUUCUACACAGGAGUCAACACAGGAGAAACAUACUAGAAGAUCCUGCAGCCCUGCUUCACUGUUGAAUCUGAGGUUAAGAGUGGACCCCCUUACUUCCUAAACUCCCAGUGGGAGCCUUAGGCAUGGCUAAUUCAAAUCUUUCACUCAGACAUGGUCAACGACUCAUACCUUAAAGGAUAAAAAAGAAUACCUAAAGCACUCAACAGGACGGUCUUCCUUACACAUUUGUGUCUUCUAGACAAGCUCAAUUCUAAACCAAUUUUCUUUUGUCUAUUUCAUCCAUAUAGUAAAUAAUAUAGUGAACCUUGCCAUCAGACUUAAAGUUGUGCUUUUACAAAUUCAAAAUUUACAAAUUUUGCUGAUGUGUUUGAUGGCAAUGCUUUGAGCAACCUAAACCACCCAUUCAUUAUACAGCUCUUCUGCAAUUCCUCAGAUAAGCAGAGCAGAGGUAGCAGUAACAAUAUUGAGAAUUACAUAUCCUUGGUUUUCUCAUGUUUGUGAAAUCAAGUGAUAGAGCUCAUAUGUCAUGACUUAUCUGCACCUCUACAACCUCUGUACAGAUACAACAGUUUUUUCAAAAAUAAGGCUUACAGUAUUUUUUAGAAGUUGUAGGUUGCUGAGUAGCUGGUUUAGUGGGUCAACUGUGUUGAGUAUACCUUUGUAAUCAGAACAGAUGAGGGCAGGAUUUCUUUGGUGCUGUGUCAGCCAGUCGUAUACAAAUGCCAUUUGUGAAAGGAUUCAGUGGAAGCACAUGAUGUGAUCCUGAGUACAGCCUGGCCUGUUGUGCUUACUGAAAUGUCAUCUAUUUCAUGAUCCUUCCAGAUCAGGGAAUUGUUGUGCUGAUGCCAGGGAAGGGAAAAAAUCAUUCACAGCAGUAUCUGACCUCAUACAGAGUGCAUGCCUGGUUGCUAAUCUGUACAUGCUCAGGUGGAAAAACCACGGGAAGCUUAGGUUUUACUGCACCUGCACAGAUCAAUUCAACAGUACAUGAACUGCCACCUCGAGCUUGCGGGGCGGGGAAAAUGCAUUUGCCACACACGGCUACACAGUUUAUGCAUCUGGCUAUGUACAGGAAGAGGGCAGUCAGCAGAGGAUGUCACUGUAGCAUCGCAUUAUCAAAGCAUCUCCAAGCUGCCCUCAAGGUACACUUGCUGUGAUGUUACUUCUAAUUGCUCUACAUUGCCAGACUAUGAAGGGUGAAUAGAGGUCUUUGUAUGUUCUCAUGCACAGUAUAGUUGAGCCUCCACUUCGAUGUGUUUCUGAACCUGUGAUCUUUUCAGUUUUCUGCAUUGCAUAGAUGGUAUUCUGUUUUAUUCAUCAGGAAUAACAUCCCCCACAUAAAGUUUCUAUUCCUUUCUGCUUUUCUCCAUCUGUGAUGUAACUGGUCCUUUUUUGAAUGGUCCAUUUAUCUUUCUUCUUUGCAACAGAAGCAAUUUUAUGGUGCAUAUGUUUUAAUUUUAAAAAAAUUGAACAGCCAGCAGAGAUUAAUGCAGAAUAUAUUUAAGCAAUGGAGAAUAUUCUGUAAGUUUGUUUGACCUAGAUGGUAGUAGUUUCCAGGUUAAAGUUGUUGACCUAAAAUUUAGUUCCUGUAUGUUUACGAAGAGAGUAGAACACAGGUGAUUACAAUGAGAUGUUUACUGCUGGUUUUGUGAGGCAGAUAGUGGAAUAUCAUUUCUCAUUCUAUGAUCAAUAUUGUGAAAAAUAGAUUGCUUGUCAAUAUGCUCAAUAGCAUAGUGUGUUUUGGUAAGGAGAAAAGAAUAGAUAAAAGCAAAUAAAGAGUAAAAAGAAGUAGUCACUGGAAACUGGAUAAAAAGCGUGACUGAAAGUUCAAAUUUUCACUGUGAAAACAAGUAGCCAUUAAAAAAAACAAACCAUGAAAAUGACAGGUAACUUUUUCUGAUGUUUGCAAUUUUAGACUGAGUGUUUACUCACAAGCUUUCUGGCCUCAGUACUGUGAUAACGUCUUUGGUUUCCCAAGGUCAGAGUGGAAGACAUCUGCCUUUAGCUGUUUAUUAUGUUCCUAAUGGGAUCCAGAAAAGACAGACCACAUGAAUUCAAGGAUGUAAAGAUAGUAAUUUUUCUUUCUCCCUUGUAAGAAAUGUAUCUUUUCUCACAAGGAAAACAUCAUCUGUCUGGGAAGAAAGUGAUUUGGCAUAAAUCUUUUGUGCCUUAGGUCAAUUUUACACGUACACUUCUGCUGGACUCCAUAAGCCGUUCAACACAGGAGCAGAAGCCUGUGGAAGAGUUCACUUUUCAAGCCACUACUAAAGAGAACAACUUUUCGUCCAUGAAAAUUUAUCUCUUCAGUGUGCAACAACAGAUCAAAUGUUAAAUUAGGCAAAGGCACUUUGCUGUGGCUGAUUCAGGCCAAUACCCAUUUUUGCAUUCCUUCAUCUUACACAUUCCAAAUCUACUCAUACACCUCUAUGCUAAAGCAGAAACCUCAGAUUUUAUGAAGAGUGGCUCUCAUGUCUAGAGGUGUUUUACAUAUUCUUUAUAUAGACUUUAACCUUGAGUAUGCAGCCAAAUCUGUUUAUGUUAAGAAUAAGUGAACAUAUCCUGUUUCUACAGUUAAAUACAGACUGUGUUAUUUGCAUUCUUACUAAGCAGCAAAAUGCGCUUUUUUAAAGGCACGUCUGCAAAAGUGAAAAUAUUUUUUCUUUCUGCUGUUUUCAGAUGCUGAAAUGGUGUUUAAAGUGGACUGCAUGCUCCUGUAAUUUCUCUCCUGAAACAACAAAAAAAAAAUAAAAAUUGGAAACUAAUUAACCAAGGGAAAAAGAGAAAAACCAACUGCUAAAUGCAGUGGAAUGAAAUUUGGGAAGAAAUGUGUAGACUUUUUUUCCUUUCCUUAAUGAAAGGAAAAGAUACUAGGAAAAAGGAAAAAGAUACUAGGGUUGGAAAUGCAAAUGUCACUGAAUCUGGGAUUAGUAUUGUGUUAGGGCUGAACUGGUAAGUAAAAUGGAGCUGAUAUCUGAAAUAGUGACAGCAUAGUUUCACAGAUAAGCUCCUGGGUAUUUAGUUGGAGAGAAGCAGCAGAUGUUAGCUGUACAACUGGUUAGGGAUUUCCCGAUAAGCUACUUAUGUCCAUGAGAAAAUGAUAACAAUUCAAGAUCUAAAUGGUUGUUGUGAAUACAGUAAAUCUCCCAUAUUUUUUGUCUGUUGUUUUGGUUCUGUUGUUUUUCUAAAAAAGAAUGUUUCCAAUUCUUGAAAAUGCUUCAUCAUUUCUAAGUGGAAAGGAGUCUUAUCUUCCAUGACUUUCUACUAAAUGUUGUAGGUAAUGGAAACUCAUUUGAAAACAGUGGGGAACAUUUAAAAACACUUGGAAAUGGAAGUUAAACUCUGCCCAGUGAUAGACUUCCAUAGUCAGCAGUUUUGCCAGCCUGAACCAAACUGAUCAUGAAAAUAAAAGGUCUCCUUGUCAUUAUCACUCAAGUUCUUCAUCAGUACAAAAAGGACCUUCAUCAGAUCCUGGGAAUGAAAAUACUGCCACUGCAGAAUCAGAUGUGUGCAUAUUUUGAUAUUGAUGUAUAUUUGAUAUUCAGGUAUUGAGGCACGCUUUUGACCAGUAGGAAUAGGUGUCAUUGUCAUAGUAUUUCUGUGAGUGGGUACAGCCUGAAGAAAGGGUCUGUUGACUAUCCAUCAACAGCUGCGUCCAGAGCUUAUGGAGCCAAAGAGAACAAGCAGAGUGGCCAAGAGAAAGGAUAACAGAGUCUUAAUUGUGAGCUAAGCAAUGUUUGAUAGUACACAAAGAACAUAGGUUUGCAAGCAGUUUUAAAGUUGAGCUAGAAAUUUAUCUAACCGCUAGAUAUGUCUGAAAUUAUUACUGAAUUUCUGCUCUGAUAUUUAAAAAUAUGCUAGCUGAGCUUGCAAGAUUGAUUGGUCUCUCUAUGACUAGUUUUAGCAUGUUUUUUAU